GACGAACUGUCCUAACGUUGUUCGGAAUCACUGGGCUUAAAGGGCGCGUAGGCGGUCCGACAAGUCAGGGGUGAAAUCCUGCAGCUUAACUGUAGAAGUGCCUUUGAUACUGUCGGUCUUGAGGGAAAUAGGGGUGUGCGGAACUUCCAGUGGAGCGGUGAAAUGCGUUGAUAUUGGAAGGAACGCCGGAGGCGAAAGCGGCGCACUGGAUUUCUUCUGACGCUGAGGCGCGAAAGCUAGGGGAGCAAACGGGG
rnacentral:rRNA from 1 species